AUAAGCCAUUUUACAGAUCUGGAGGAGA
rnacentral:piRNA from 1 species